UACGAAGGGUGCAAGCGUUACUCGGAAUUACUGGGCGUAAAGCGUGCGUAGGUGGUCGUUUAAGUCCGUUGUGAAAGCCCUGGGCUCAACCUGGGAACUGCAGUGGAUACUGGGCGACUAGAGUGUGGUAGAGGGUAGCGGAAUUCCCGGUGUAGCAGUGAAAUGCGUAGAGAUCGGGAGGAACAUCCAUGGCGAAGGCAGCUACCUGGACCAACACUGACACUGAGGCACGAAAGCGUGGGGAGCAAACAGG
rnacentral:rRNA from 1 species